GUGGAAGCUGCUGGCCUUGGACCAUCCCGCCUCCCUGUCAUGUAACACACGGGACUGUAGCCGCACACUCGGUCCGUCUGCUCCAAGACAGCUGCAGGAGCCGCGGGUUUACUGCUGUCACCAGCGCCUGGAAACCCGGCAGCCCCACUGGGCUCUGAAACCAUCUCACCUCCGACGCUAAGCUCGUGCUGCUUCCUAAGCCUCAGAUACCCCAAGAACUUGCCCUGCUCCCACGGAUUUGCCUGCCGGCACGCCAGUGUCACCCAUUUUGAUGGGCCUGUCCUCAGAAUGCUGCCGUAAUCACCGGGCAUCUUGCCAGCAUCCAGCCUUGCCGCUGGCCAUGGCCUUUUUUUCUUUUUUGACAGGCAGAGUGGACAGUGAGAGAGAGAGAGAGACAGAGAGAAAGGUCUUCCUUUGCCAUUGGUUCACCCUCCAAUGGCCGCCGCGGCCAGCACGCUGCGGCCGGCACACCGCACUGAUCCGAAGGCAGGAGCCAGGUACUUAUCCUGGUCUCCCAUGGGGUGCAGGGCCCAAGCACUUGCGCCAUCCUCCACUGCACUCCCAGGCCACAGCAGAGAGCUGGCCUGGAAGAGGGGCAACCGGGACAGAAUCCGGUGCCCCAACCAGGACUAGAACCCCAGGGUGCCAGCGCCACAGGCAGAGGAUCAGCCUAGUGAGCCGCGGCGCUGGCCUGGCCAUGGCCUUUCAGACAGAGGAAGACCCUGCACACGCCCUGGACCCACAGGCAGGAUCCACACUCAUUUCCUCAUCUCAGGACGGUGCCUUCCACCUGAGCUGCUGCUUCUGAGUCCAGCUACACAGUCGGCACACUUUAUCGCUGACAGAAACAAACAGAGAAAGGUGUGUAUUGUUUCAGCUCUAAAAGAAAUCUAGCUGUUUUCAUGGAUGUUCUUCCUACUGUGAGAACCCAGUGAGAAGUGGUGUCUCAGAUCAAGACCUGCCCAGUGAAACCUGCGUAUUUACGCCCAGGGAGUGUAGACGUGAGAGAACAGGUAUGACAUGAGACAUUCACAGUCGAAAUGCAGGGAGACCUCCCAGAUGAGUACUGACAGGGACAGCACACAGAGGGCUGGACACUCGGGCAGGAGGAGUCUGAGGCCCCUUGCUUGGGGUCGUGCUGCACUAUUGGGGGGGGGGCACGGGGAUGUCUCCAAUGCUGUUUGGCUCAAAUCUGGAAUUUGAGUAGGGGUAGUAAAGAAGUGAUCUGCCUGAGGUCGCAAGGCAAGUCAGGACAGAAACUGGAGGUGAGCUUGGAGCCUGUAGCCUGGAAGCAGGGAGGGGACUGGAGGUGAGGCCUGUGUGGGUGCAGGGAGGGGACUGGAGGUGAGUCCUGUGUGGGUGCAGGGAGGGGGAUUGGAGGUGAGGCCUGUGUGGGUGCAGGGAGGGGACUGGAGGUGAGGCCUGUGUGGGUGCAGGGAGGGGACUGGAGGUGAGGCCUGCGUGGGUGCAGGGAGGGGACUGGAGGUGAGUCCUGUGUGGGUGCAGGGAGGGGACUGGAGGUGAGGCCUGUGUGGGUGCAGGGAGGGGACUGGAGGUGAGGCCUGUGUGGGUGCAGGGAGGGGACUGGAGGUGAGGCCUGCGUGGGUGCAGGGAGGGGACUGGAGGUGAAGCCUGUGUGGGUGCAGGGAGGGGACUGGAGGUGAGCCCUGCGUGGGUUGCAGACUAUAGGUGAGCCUUGUGUGGGUGCAGGGAGGGGACUGGAGGUGAGCCCUGUGUGUAGCCUGGGAGCAGGGAGGGUGGUCUAGGGGGAGUUCCCCUCCAGGAGGGGAGCAAGGGGUGGAGCUGCCUCCAGGGACAGGGAGGAUCCGGGUGAGAUGUGAUGGAGAUGGCAUCAGGCAGGAGGGCGUGGACACAGUCACGGGGCUGGAAGGCCCAGGGCCGCGGAGAGA